CCGUCUUGGCGGCAUCGCCGAGCCGGGAAAAAAUUUUGAUGAAAGAUGGUCUCGCGGCCUAUCAGCUAGUUGGUGAGGUAAUGGCUCACCAAGGCGACGACGGGUAGCCGGCCUGAGAGGGCGACCGGCCACACUGGGACUGAGACACGGCCCAGACUCCUACGGGAGGCAGCAGUAGGGAAUAUUGGGCAAUGGGCGCAAGCCUGACCCAGCGACGCCGCGUGAGGGAUGAAGGUCUUCGGAUUGUAAACCUCUUUCAGUAGGGAAGAAGCGAAAGUGACGGUACCUAAAGAAGAAGCACCGGCUAACUAUGUGCCAGCAGCCGCGGUAAUACAUAGGGUGCAAGCGUUGUCCGGAAUUAUUGGGCGUAAAGAGCUCGUAGGUCGUUUGUCGCGUCGAUUGUGAAAAUCUGAGGCUCAACCUCAGACCUGCAGUCGAUACGGGCAAACUAGAGUGUGGUAGGGGGAGACUGGAAUUCCUGGUGUAGCGGUGGAAUGCGCAGAUAUCAGGAGGAACACCAAUGGCGAAGGCAGGUCUCUGGGCCAUAACUGACACUGAGGAGCGAAAGUGCGGGGAGCGAACAGGAUUAGAUACCCUGGUAGUCCGCACCGUAAACGGUGGGCACUAGUUGUGGGAACCUUCCACGGUUUCCGCGACGCAGCAAACGCAUUAAGUGCCCCGCCUGGGGAGUACGAUCGCAAGAUUAAAACUCAAAGGAAUUGACGGGGCCCCGCACAAGCAGCGGAGCAUGCGGCUUAAUUCGACGCAACGCGAAGAACCUUACCAAGGCUUGACAUAUAGCGAAAAGUGGCAGAGAUGUCAUGUCCGCAAGGGCGCUAUACAGGUGGUGCAUGGUUGUCGUCAGCUCGUGUCGUGAGAUGUUGGGUUAAGUCCCGCAACGAGCGCAACCCUCGUUCUGUGUUACCAGCAUUCAGUUGGGGACUCACAGGAGACUGCCGGGGUCAACUCGGAGGAAGGUGGGGAUGACGUCAAAUCAUCAUGCCCCUUAUGUCUUGGGCUGCACGCAUGCUACAAUGGCCGGUACAAAGUGCUGCGAGAUCGUAAGAUUGAGCGAAUCACAUAAAGCCGGUCUCAGUUCGGAUUGAGGUCUGCAACUCGACCUCAUGAAGUCGGAGUUGCUAGUAAUCGUAGAUCAGCAACGCUACGGUGAAUACGUUCCCGGGGCUUGUACACACCGCCCGUCACGUCACGAAAGUCG
rnacentral:rRNA from 1 species